GGUUCGUUCGUUCUGUCUCCAGGCUAGUGGCUAAGUACUGAGGGCUUCAUCUAUCUAAAAGGAGUCAUUUCCAUCUGAAUGUGGCAGCACCGGGACAUAGCAGCAGAGCGGUAAGCUUCAUAUCACUAUAAAAUGUCGACAAACUUUACUUCAGAUUUACGGGCAUUAGCAGCACUAAAGCGUUAGCAUCCGGCUUGCUAUCGCUAGCACAGUAUGCUAGUAAAGUUAGCACCCAGAUUAAUGUGGAUUUGGCUGAUUUCCGUGGAAUAAAACGUGAUUUCUGAUCAACGCCUUCUUUUACACCAGAUGAUAACCUCCCACUGAUUGUAACAGCAGAGAGCCUGUGUGUUACUCUACGUGAGUGUGAUGUAAUCUUAGCAUCCAGUACAUAAAGUCCCAUAUCAGCUAAAAUGCAGCGUGACAAAGUCAUUAAAGUGCGUCAACACAGUGGAUUUAAUAGAGUUUUAAAGAACGAUCUCUGGAGUGGAGUGAGGUUAGUUUUUUGUCUCACUGCAGAUAUAAAAACUAACUCUGCAUCAGUCAGAUGCAGCAAAGCUCACCGUCUGUAUGAGCGUGAGCGUCGGAAAGCUGAUAAAAUCGGCUGUAAAAUAAUUAAAACAAAAGUAAAAAUGUUCCUUUGCUUUUUAGAGUCAACAUCCAGAAGACUGGAGCCGUGUUUCACUGACAGGCAGUCAGACUAACGCCCUGAUGAGCUCAGCUGGGACAAACUGGUCUGAUGUUUAGGAACACAGAACGUUCAGAUGUUGGCGUUUCACGUCACCUACUGAGGAAGGAGACCCACCAGUAAAGAGACGGUCUGGACCAGGCCAAAAAAAUGGCGAUGACAUCAUGGAACUGGUCUUUGGAAAAGUUUUCCCUGAACCAACUCCGUUUCUAGAUGAGGUAGAGAAGAUCUGCAUCUCACCAACCCUCUGGUCUCAGUAUUCAGACAACGGAGGUCUCCCACUGUUAUCCAGGACCAGUUUGAAGCCCACAUACUGCCCCUCCCUCAUCAUCAGGAAACAUCAAUCCGUAUCCUGAGGACAACAGAAGACGGCAGGAGGACAGGAACUCUGAGACCUAGACACCACCAGCACCGAGACACAAAGCACCUGUGUGCACAACGCCUGUUUAACUACUAAAACCUGUUUAUUAUAUUGUUCUACUUAUUUGCUGUGAGGUUAAUACUUAGAAAAUUUGUAUAUUAAUGUAAACAAUAAAAAAAAUCACUGAUUGUAUGUUUUCUUUUAGAUGUAAUGGUCCAAACUCAGCCUUGUAGACAUUUAUUGCAUCCUGUAGGUAAAUACACAGAACAGGCUCAGAUCCAGGAUGACCCAGCAUGCUCUUCUUCCAUUCUGGCUGUUAGGGAUUUUAUCAAUAACUCAAUGCCUCCUGAUGUUUCCACCUAACGGUAUUUAUUUAGAAUGCAGGUAAGAUUUAACUAUAUUUGUUAGCAAAGCAGACUGAUCUUGGGAAUUUCACUGCAGCACUGAUGUCCACCUCUCUGUACACAUUAGAGAAUUACCACUUUACAGCUAAACACAUUUAAUAAAGAUAUAGGCUACGCAUUGCAGACAAUAAAAACAAAGUUGUAAGCAUUAGAAUUAUAAUCACAUUAAAGAACAUUUGGAGGAAUGUUCUUUAUUUUUGACUAGAAUCUCAAAUCUUUAAAUUAAAAUGUAACUGCUUUUUAUCCAUUUUCAGCCAUUAAGACACCCAAUAUAAAAUAAGACUACUUAUA